rnacentral:misc_RNA from 1 species
GUCGGCAGUUAAUAAUACAAGAACCGGCUUUGUGAUCCGUCGGCACAAGAAAGGUGGAGAUCACACCAUAUAUAAUCCCAGUGUGGUGGGCCAUAUUAAAUAUUAUACACUCGCAAGAAAACUUUCGCCAAAACCCCACGCAUCACAAGAAGACGAGAGGAGCAUGCAGCAUUCCACGAGUGAGGAGACAUGCAUGGCAGGCAUGUUUCGUCUGUCUGCUGGUGCCCGGGAUACGAGACCAUCUGGAGGCUGGCUGGAGAUGACGAUGCCACCACUCCACCAGAGCAAGUGCGCGUGUGCUGCCGAGCCUGUUGCGGGCUUGCGGCAAGCUAGCUGAGGCGCGCGACAGGCAGACAGGCUCCCCAUUUCAGGGUCAGGGCAAUUUCUAAUCACUCUUGUUGACGAUUCUUACAGCGUCUAGGGUUCCUCGAAUAAUGCCAUAUCUCACACUCCUCCUCUUACUAAUACUACAGAACGUUUCUUGUAAAUUAUGGCCAAUACCAGGUAUAUAAGCAGUGAUUUCACGUAAAGCAGAGUUGGAUUUUUUUGGGGUUGAUAGUGGGAAGUUGACAGAUAACACAACUGUUUUGCCG